GUCUCACUCAUCUCCUGUCCGUCAGGUGGCAUAGAAGGGGGGUGGGCAAGGGAAGAGGGCAAGAAGGGGAGAGGUUGCUGGGGAUGGACACCGGGAAGGUGACACUUGAGAAGCGUCAGUAUCAAGAGAUGUGGAGCUGCUGUUUAUUCUCAUGGCGGCUCUGUGUACACACUCUGGCCGUGGAGCUGCCUGGGAUGAGCCGUGGUCCCUCUGAGAACUGCUUCCUGUUUGGUCUGGUAACUCCUAAGCCUGCCUUUCUUUCCUGCAGUCUGCAGUUGUGGAAAUGUUCAGUAUUUGAAGUUUGGAGGAGAUCGAUUUUUCAUCCUUUCCUUAGUGGGAUAAAGAAUAUUUCAAACACCACUGGAGACCAAAGAGCUCUGAGAAGUUUUGAAACAGCUUGGGAAAUAUGCUACAUGCCUUGCACUUCAUUUUUCCCCUCUCUCUUUCCUUUUGUUUCACUUAAUUAAAAUAUUGGAAUGCAAGAAGGAGAGAUAAGGCAGAUGUUUAGAGAAAGGAAAGGAAGUGGGUUCAUUUAAACGGACCGCCAGCAUGGCGAGUGUGGUAUGAAAUAAUUCUCAGCAUCUAGUAAGGUAAACGCGAAAUACCCUUCCCGUCUGUGAGGUGACAAAGAAGAACUUGGAGCUCGAAGAGGAUCGUGGAUGGAAACCAUGGCCAGGAUCACUCCCCUCUCCUCCCUCUCCUCCCUCUACCCGAUGGAAGAAAAAAUUGGGACAUUUUUGGGUCCAAGUUUCACAGAUGUUAAGCAUUUUGUGAUAUUACUUAGGGGGUUCCUUGAGCUACAUUACAGUCGAACCACAAGGGUGUUGAAACAGUUGGACCCCGUAAUAAAAUAUACAUGAA
rnacentral:lncRNA from 1 species